rnacentral:rRNA from 1 species
AUGGCGGCCGUGUCCUCCCAGUCCGGAGUCAACGGCUUCGACAUGACCGACAUAGAAGACCUCACCAACAUAAGCCACAUGCUGCGCUCCCUGCUUCCGUUUGCCUCGCCGCCGGAGGUAGCACAGCUGGCGUUUGCGCUGUGGGUGCUGGGCUCCACCACCCUUGUCCUGGCCCUGACCGCCCUGUUCCACCUGCCGCCCGCAGGACCCGUCUUUGGCCGCUGCGCUGCAGCCUACUACGCCAUUCUCGGGGUCGUCCUCCUCGUCGCCGUGCCGGUGGAGCUGCUGACCGCGCUCUGCCUGCGCCACAGCCGCGAGGGCCGCCUCCUCGCCUUCGCCUCCUACCUGCUGCCCUGUGCUCACGUGCUCCUCCUCCUCGUCAUCUCGAUUGCUUUGAGUACACAUGAGUUGUCCAAGUAUUGGAUUCUGAUUUUUUUAGUACAAUUAACUGGCCUGCGCAGCCACAAUUUCCACGUGGUCAGCACCAAUGUCUUGCCGAAGCAGCGCUCAGCGUGUCAGGUCGGCUUCCUGCAGUACGGCUUCUCCCACACAGUGGUGGAGAUCCUGCAGUCACUUGACGUGCUCACCAAUGAGGUGCUACACCAGGAGCUCAAGGAGUACUCCAGCUGGCCCACCUUCCCGCAGCACUACGUUGACGGUGAGUUCUUCUGCGGGACGACAUCACGGUCGGCGUCGUUCUCCCUCAUGGGGGCAUUGUUUUUGGAGCAGCGGCUGGAUGAAGGAGACAAGUGGUUGAGCGGUUUUUCAUUUACCACAUCAAAGACGGCGGAUCUCGGCGGCGUGGUGCAAUGGGGAUUCGGUGUCCGAUGCAAGGAGAUGGACUCGCGCAGGAGGAGGACGCUGUCUGGCGUCAUGGUGGCGUCGAUGGCAGAGAGGCGUAGCGAGGUCGGCUCGGACUAUCGGCACACCUUCAUCAAGUGGAUAGAAAUAGUGACAUAUGUUGCUAGGAUGGUGGCUUCAGACUAUCUGAUGUACUACUUUGGUUUAUUGAAUAGUCCAUGCCCAAGAACUCAGCCAAAACUGUUAGGACUUGCGAGUGAUGUACUCAUUAGUAACACAAACCACUGUUUGGUUCAUGAACCCAAGUGUGCUGCAGCACCUUACACCUACAGGAUAGGUUAUGGUGUCUCACAGAAUACAGACAGCAAGAUGUGCUCUGCUUUCUUGAUUAACGCGGCCACAGUUUCCAGGUGGUCUGCAAUGACGUCUUGCCAAAGCAGCGCUCAACGUUUCUGGUCGGCUACCCGCAGUGUGGCUUCUCCCACAUGGUGGUGCAGCAACUGCUUCAUCCUGGAUGUCCACCGUGUCCUGAGCCUCUGGCGCACCCACCCGCUAGGCGCUAGCCGCAUCCUCGGCUGCCUCACCUACUCUUUCGACAACCUCGCCAUCUUCGACUCCGGAAAUGACCGGAGAAUCUCCAGGUUCCAGCUAAUUGGGCCAAUAACAUCCAUCGGCUACGUUUCUAUGAGCCCAGACAAAAAGGACGAAAAAUCCGAA